AUUAAUGUUAGGUAAAUACUGCUCUAUGAAGAUAUUUUAAUGGCCGCAGUAAACUGACUGUGCUAAGGUAGCAUAAUAAAUUGGCCUUUAAUUGGGGUCUGGUAUGAACGGAUAUAUAUGUAAUAACUGUCUUAUUAGAAUUUUUUUUAAUUUUCUUAGUAGGUGAAAAUUCCUAUAAGCAAUUCUGAAGGACGAUAAGACCCUUAGAAUUAUUAAAAUGUUGAUAUUCUCAUUAUAUCAUUCUUUUUUGUUGGGGCGACAUAUUAUCAUAGAACAUAAUUCAUUAAAUCUAUUUACAAGACUAAUUUAUUUAGUAAGACUUAAUUACCUGAGGGAUAACAGCAUAAUAUUUAUAUAUGUUUAUGACCUCGAUGUUGGACUAGGUUACUUAAUAACUAACAGUUAUUAAUUUAUGUUCUGUUCGAACAAUUACA
rnacentral:rRNA from 1 species